rnacentral:rRNA from 1 species
UUGGAGGGCAAGUCUGGUGCCCGCAGCCGCGGUAAUUCCAGCUCCAAUAGCGUAUAUUAAAGUUGUUGCAGUUAAAAAGCUCGUAGUUGAAUUUCGGGAUCAGAGUGUCGGUCGUGCCUCGGUACGCACUGGUAUUAUUGGUUCCUACCCUCUGAAGAACCGCGAUGUCAUUAAUUUGGUGUCGUGGGGAAUCAGGACUGUUACUUUGAAAAAAUUAGAGUGUUUAAAGCAGGCUUACGCUUGAAUACAUUAGCAUGGAAUAAUGAAAUAGGACGUUUGAUUCUAUUUUGUUGGUUUCUAGGAUUGACGUAAUGAUUAAUAGGGAUAGUUGGGGGCAUUAGUAUUCAAUUGUCAGAGGUGAAAUUCUUGGAUUUAUUGAAGACUAACUACUGCGAAAGCAUUUGCCAAGGAUGUUUUCAUUAAUCAAGAACGAAAGUUAGGGGAUCGAAGACGAUCAGAUACCGUCGUAGUCUUAACCAUAAACUAUGCCGACUAGGGAUCGGAUGAUGUUAAUUUUUUAAUGACUCAUUCGGCGCCUUACGGGAAACCAAAGUGUUUGGGUUC